AUGGAAAAAAAGAAAAAAAAUUAUCGAGCAAAUUGCGAUUGAUCUGAAGAAAAAAAACACCAUGACGGAAACUGCCAUUGAGGGAGUAGGAGGCCAGCAGCAACAGUGGAAUUGUAGAGGAGAAUUCCCCGAGAGUUUCAACCUCCGAAGGAACCGGCAGGAAUAGUUUGGAAGAAAAUGGCAGAACUUGAAUGCAAUCCUUGGGAGCCGAUGGCGAUGAUUCGGGUUCGGGAAUCAUGUCAUUCAUAAAUGUGGAUUUUUAUCAACAGCAGCAACACCGGUUGGGCUGUUGGUCAGUGAUUUUGAAGGAGAUUCCGCUGCUGCUGUUGCCUGACGAGGAUGACUCGAUUCUUAAAAAAAUUGUAGCAUGUCGUAUUUCGUAUUUCACAAAAUCUAAAGAUGCCAAAAUGUGACAAAUUACGUCCCCUUUCCAAUUCACUUUUUAAAUUUUCUCUACUGUAACAGGAACAGCUUUGGCAGUUGAUUGAUUGAAAAGUACGGGUUUUACACAACUUUUUUACAUUUUUUGUGGCCAUGAUCUUAGAAAAAUUUUAAAAAAAAUUUCCAUAUGUGCAACAUAUAGCUUCUAACUUCAGCUUUCUCAGAAACUAAGUGAAAUUUUUUUUCGAGCACUUAAUAACUGAUUUACAACCUUUGUCCUGAAGCAUGUUUUUUCAUAAAUUUUUUCUUGUACUGUAAAUAACUUUAAAGUUAUUGAUUGUAGCUGAAAAUUGUCUGAGAAACAUAUUUGAGUGGAAUUAUAAGCUUUUCAAAACUUUAAAUUUGGUAGAAAUCAGUUGAGAAACAAGGGAGUUUUAGCGAAAACGGUGUUUGCCGUCAUUUGACCGCUCGCGGUAUGAAUAGGUAUAUACAAAGUGUCGGUAUGUUUAGUGUUAAGGAAAAAUAAAAAAUCAUGAAAUGAAGGGUUCAACCAUUCUGUCAUGCGGGUAAAAAAAAAACAAGUAAUAGGGAAUUCGGAAAAAGCAAUGUACAUCGAAGGUUCCAAAUUGGUACCACACACUAAAAACCUAAGAAUUUUUUGGAGUAAGAGCGUAGGCACGUAUUUGUUUUACUUGAUGUUGAUUUUAUUUUAACAAAAUCUGUUGAAUUAGAAACCAAACAAUCGUUAGAAACCAAUAAUAAUCAAAAUUUGUCAUCAAAAUUACUUCGUGCAACUUUCAACGUUAUUUAUCGUCUCAGUUAUAAGACAACUCGAUCGAUUAAACUUGAUUUAUCAAUAUUUACUACCACGAAAUGCUACUCUUAUAAUAAGAAACGAGAAAUUGACCACAAUUUAGGAGUUUAACGAUUGUCAUCACCGAUAGAAUAUUGUUUAUUAGGAGUUUAAUUUUAUAAAUAAAUCAAAUGUAGAAACAAAAA